rnacentral:rRNA from 1 species
UACAGAGGGUGCAAGCGUUAAUCGGAAUUACUGGGCGUAAAGCGCGCGUAGGUGGUUCGUUAAGUUGGAUGUGAAAGCCCCGGGCUCAACCUGGGAACUGCAUUCAAAACUGACGAGCUAGAGUAUGGUAGAGGGUGGUGGAAUUUCCUGUGUAGCGGUGAAAUGCGUAGAUAUAGGAAGGAACACCAGUGGCGAAGGCGACCACCUGGACUGAUACUGACACUGAGGUGCGAAGGCGUGGGGAGCGAACAGG